rnacentral:rRNA from 1 species
AACGAACGCUGGCGGCAUGCCUAACACAUGCAAGUCGAACGAGACCUUCGGGUCUAGUGGCGCACGGGUGCGUAACGCGUGGGAACCUGCCCUUAGGUUUGGAAUAACUCCCCGAAAGGGGUGCUAAUACCGGCUAAUGUCUUCGGACCAAAGCUUUAUCGCCUUUGGAUGGGCCUGCGUUGGAUUAGCUAGUUGGUAGGGUAAAAGCCUCCCAAGGCGACGAUCCAUAGCUGAUCUGAGAGGAUGAUCAGCCACACGGGGACUGAGACACGGCCCAGACUCCUACGGGAGGCAACAGUGGGGAAUAUUGGACAGUGGGCGAAAGCCUGAUCCAGCGAUGCCGCGUGAGUUAAGAAGGCCUUAGGGUUGUAAAGCUCUUUUACCCGGGAUGAGAAUGACAGUACCGGGAGAAUAAGAUCCGGCUAACUCCGUG